rnacentral:ncRNA from 2 species
GCCUUCUUGUCGGGGUGCCUUAAAAAGCACCGAGCGCAUAUCGGUUCGCCGAUGUUCUGCUCGGUCAUUUGAGGGGCUGAGAUCAAACCCGUUGAACCUGAUCCGGUUAGUACCGGUGUAGGAAACCGAGAUAUGUCCCAUA